rnacentral:lncRNA from 1 species
CAGGAAACCAGACCAGGCUGCCUGAUACUCUUGUUCGGUGGGGCAUGGCAUUUAUCUUUUGCCUCUGUUACUGCUUCUUGAAAGUAGCUUCUACGUGAACUUUCUUUGAACAUGUGCAGCUGAAAUGAUUGUUUUUUACAUUCAGUCCAAUAAACACAGCUCAUCCACACUGACUGUAGAGAAUCAAGAUACACAGUGAGAAAGCUCAUCCCUAGGCAAAUGAAGUUMUCUCUGAUACACGUGUCUUAGAGAACUCUAUCUGUAAGUGCAGUUUCUUCCUCAAAAAGCCCUAGAUAUAUUUGCAAACUUUUAAGAAAUGCAAGCUAUUUAGUCAAUGGAGUUAUUAUAGCAAUUUUAAUGUACUAAUAGAAGAGGGACAAGGAGAAUACACACUGCAAUAUGCUUGCUACAAAACCUUUAUAAUGUUUUUAACCUGCAGGUUCCCUCACUUCUUUCCUUUUACCCUUUCUUUUAAAAAGGUAGAGAGACUUUAAGACAGACAUUUUAAAAGCUCAAAACAUGUAUUUAACAUAGAGCCUAUGAAAUGUUUCAGGUUAGAAAUAUCCAGCAAUGCCUAAAUAGCUUGUACUUAGAUUGUUACAGCCUGCCUGCAUAUUUUUUUUUCUCCAGGUAUGCUGGGAAAAGCACAACUCAGAGCACAUUUUUCCUCCUAGGGACAGAGCUCCUAUCAAGUUCUAUGAAGGGAUAAAGGACUUUCCGAAGGCUCCAAAGAAAGCCAGAGGCAGUGCAUGACGGUGAGUAUGGAGCCCCUGCAGUAUUUCUAUCCCAGCCAGAAGUCCAUCUCAGACUCACAGCUGGAAACAAAAGGCAAUGAACUAUUUCACUUUUCCAUACAAAAGAUCUCCCAGAUGAUUUAGACAGUUAGACCUGUCCUUGUAAAUUUAGCUUGUGAAAAAUCUAACUCUUCUUACCUUGCAAUUCUUAUUCUGAAUUGUUCUGCUACUCAGCAUGUGAGAAAACGUAUCAAAGAGGACACUGAGUGCUUUUAUUACAGCCAACAAAAAUAAAGAAAGAAUUCCAGUACCUCUCUGCUCUUUA